ACGUAGCGCAGCCUGGUAGCGCACCGUCAUGGGGUGUCGGGGGUCGGAGGUUCAAAUCCUCUCGU
rnacentral:tRNA from 3 species